GACGAACCGAGCGAACGUUGUUCGGAAUCACUGGGCUUAAAGGGCGCGUAGGCGGGCACUCAAGUCUGUGGUGAAAUCCGGCAGCUUAACUGUCGAACUGCCUUGGAUACUGGGUGCCUCGAGGGAGGUAGGGGCGUGCGGAACUGAUGGUGGAGCGGUGAAAUGCGUUGAUAUCAUCAGGAACUCCGGUGGCGAAGGCGGCACGCUGGACCUCUUCUGACGCUGAGGCGCGAAAGCCAGGGGAGCAAACGGG
rnacentral:rRNA from 1 species